AACCUUAUGGACCUGCGGGCGUAUACCUGCGGAAGGAUCAUUACUGAGUGAGGGCCUUCGGGCUCGACCUCCAACCCUUUGUGAACACAACUUGUUGCUUCGGGGGCGACCCUGCCGUUUCGACGGCGAGCGCCCCCGGAGGCCUUCAAACACUGCAUCUUUGCGUCGGAGUUUAAGUAAAUUAAACAAAACUUUCAACAACGGAUCU
rnacentral:misc_RNA from 1 species